rnacentral:tRNA from 1 species
UGGGAGAUGGCUCAGUGGUUAAGAGCACUGGCUGCUCUUCCAGAGGACCUGGGUUCAAUUCUCAGCACCCAU